GUAGGUGGCAAGCGUUGUCCGGAAUUAUUGGGCGUAAAGCGCGCGCAGGCGGUUCUUUAAGUCUGAUGUGAAAGCCCACGGCUCAACCGUGGAGGGUCAUUGGAAACUGGAGAACUUGAGUACAGAAGAGGAAAGCGGAAUUCCACGUGUAGCGGUGAAAUGCGUAGAGAUGUGGAGGAACACCAGUGGCGAAGGCGGCUUUCUGGUCUGUAACUGACGCUGAGGCGCGAAAGCGUGGGGAGCAAACAGGAUUAGAUACCCUGGUAGUCCACGCCGUAACGAUGAGUGCUAAGUGUUAGGGGGUUUCCGCCCCCCUUAGUGCUGCAGCUAACGCAUUAAGCACUCCGCCUGGGAGUACGGCCGCAAGGCUA
rnacentral:rRNA from 1 species